UACGGGGGGGGCGAGCGUUGUUCGGAAUUACUGGGCGUAAAGGGUUUGUAGGUGGCCUGCUAAGUCAGACGUGAAAUCCCUCAGCUUAACUGGGGAACUGCAUCCGAUACUGGAUGGCUUGAAUCCGGGAGAGGGAUGCAGAAUUCCAGGUGUAGCGGUGAAAUGCGUAGAUAUCUGGAGGAAUACCGGUGGCGAAGGCGGCAUCCUGGACCGGCAUUGACGCUGAGGAGCGAAAGCUAGGGGAGCAAACGGG
rnacentral:rRNA from 1 species